UGGCUCAGUGGUAAAGAAUCUGCCUGCAAUGCAGGAGACCCAGGUUCAAUCCCUGG
rnacentral:tRNA from 1 species